GCCGGAGUGGCGGAAUGGCAGACGCACGGGACUUAAAAUCCCGGGAGUGUUAUCACUCGUGUGGGUUCAACUCCCACCUCCGGCACCA
rnacentral:tRNA from 1 species